GGGACUCAAAGAACACCGCCUUCCUGGUUCCUGAGUUUUGAAGCGGCUUUGGCUGGUCUGCCUCAUCUCCGAGCUCUGUGGAGGUGCCCAUGGCUGUUCUGGUGAUGGUGGUGGCUAUGAAGUUGGAUUUGAUGGUUGCACUAUCGAAGGAGGUGCAGGGAUAGCUUGAUCAGACUACGACACCAUCGAUGGAGGUGCAAGAAUAGUUUGGACUAUUUGGACGGCGGUUGUCAGAGUUUGAACCUAUUGAAAAAGUAAAUUGACUUGGUCCACUGUGACCAACGUUGGCUGGAUCGGUGGAGGAGUUUCCAUCAUUAGUGGCUGCACCUAGUUAUUGACUUGGCUCUCUACUGGUCGGGAGGUAGUGACGUUGGUAUGAUGAGAUGAAACUCUCUUUGGUGGCAUGAUAUCUUGGUGCUCUCGAUCUGCGCUCCUUCAAGUAGAUCAAAACUCUUCCUCUAGUAUCAAUCUGUUGAUGCAAAAAAUUAUUUGACAUCGAGAUGCUGGAGUCAAUGGCAAGGCUGGCCUUUUGGGGGCGUGAUCUGCACAAAAGUCCUAAUUGGAGAUGGCUCUAACGAAAAUCCUUCGAUACUCAAGUCAGAACUCUCAUUCAACAGAAGGAGGAGCGUGAGAGGCA
rnacentral:lncRNA from 1 species